UGGCGGCCACCCAGAUUCCGCGCUGUCUGAGCCUUUUAUCCCGACGGCAAGGAAAGUUCCCGAGGCAAGGUCUGGAGGGUCAACUUAUCCUGUGAAAGCCACUUGUGAGACCCGCAUUGCCGUAGACUCAACUUAUUUUGACUCAUUUCGUAGGGAUGAACGGAAACUUGCCCAGUACAUGGCCGUACUGGUAGCCUUUGCGAACCUCAAGUUCCUGACUUUCCAAGAAAAUAUAUUAAGUUUUCAGCUGAGUGUAACAGGAAUUGUCAUUUUUUCGGCUUGACUUGGCCACGAGUUACGGUCCAGGAAGACCUGUUGGCAAAAGUAUGGUAGGGCUGGCGUUAGUCGGAACUGCUUGCGGCGAUUACAAGGCGGCGAUCGUGGAAGACAUGCCACGCACGUUCAGCAGCGCGCACACUAUGGCCCACGAGAUUGGACACCUCGUAGGCUCGGUGCACGAUGGCUCUGAGAAUGCCGAGAGUUCGGUCGACCCGAGGACUUGUCCGGCGGCUGAUAAAAAGAUGAUGUCACCAAGCCUUGGCCGGAACAUGUGGCACAUGUUCUCCUACUGCAGCACCGUACAAGUAGCAGAGUUU